rnacentral:misc_RNA from 1 species
GAUGAAGAACGUAGCAAAAUGCGAUAAGUAAUGUGAAUUGCAGAAUUCAGUGAAUCAUCGAAUCUUUGAACGCACAUUGCGCCCGCCAGUAUUCUGGCGGGCAUGCCUGUUCGAGCGUCAUUUCAACCCUCAAGCACAGCUUGGUGUUGGGACUCGCGUUAAUUCGCGUUCCCCAAAUUGAUUGGCGGUCACGUCGAGCUUCCAUAGCGUAGUAGUAAAACCCUCGUUACUGGUAAUCGUCGCGGCCACGCCGUUAAACACCAACUUCUGAAUGUUGACCUCGGAUCAGGUAGGAAUACCCGCUGAACUUAAGCAUAUCAAUAAGCGGAGGA